rnacentral:rRNA from 1 species
CUAGCGUUGCUCGGAAUCACUGGGCGUAAAGCGCACGUAGGCGGCUUUCUAAGUCAGGGGUGAAAUCCUGGAGCUCAACUCCAGAACUGCCUUUGAUACUGGAGAGCUCGAGUCCGGGAGAGGUGAGUGGAACUGCGAGUGUAGAGGUGAAAUUCGUAGAUAUUCGCAAGAACACCAGUGGCGAAGGCGGCUCACUGGCCCGGUACUGACGCUGAGGUGCGAAAGCGUGGGGAGCAAACAGG